rnacentral:rRNA from 1 species
GACGUAGGGGGCGAGCGUUGUCCGGAUUUAUUGGGCGUAAAGCGUGCGUAGGCGGCUGCGCAAGUCGGUUGUGAAACCCCGGGGCUCAACCCCGGAACUGCAUCCGAUACUGCGUGGCUAGAGGUAGGUAGGGGAGAUCGGAGUUCCUGGUGUAGCGGUGAAAUGCGCAGAUAUCAGGAGGAACACCGGUGGCGAAGGCGGCAUCCUGGACCGACACUGACACUGAGGAGCGAAAGUGUGGGGAGCGAACAGG